UAUAGUGAACGUGCGUGGGAACAAAGACACCAGACGAACUGGAAGUCCAACCAGGAGAGGUGAACUUUGUAAACUGUAGAUCGUUUUGUCGGCGUAGAGAAGAACAAGCGACUAGGAUCUCCAGAAAGACCCACUUCAUUAAUCUUAAAGCUGACAUCCUGGAUAUCUUCCAUAACUAUGUUUUCUAACAGAUCCGGCCAAAUUAAAGCCAAGCUUCUUCUUCUUGUGGGUAAACUGAUUCGGACAAAAGAUCCUUCUUCAGAUCUCUUGGAUCCUGCGGCAGACACUAAACUUAAGAAAUGUUUAACCACAUUAGAUCUUACUUCCCUUGGAGUGGGAAGCUGCGUAGGGACAGGAAUGUAUCUAGUCUCUGGAAUGGUGGCCAGAAAUGUUGCUGGGCCAGGGGUCGUCCUAUCAUUUCUAAUAGCGGCUGUGGCAUCGCUCUUUUCAGGUUUGGAUUUUUCUUUUGUUUUAGUAACAGAUCAACGCU